rnacentral:snoRNA from 1 species
UGGCAAGCGUCCUGCGUACUUGGGCCUGCUGUGACCUGAGCGUCCUACAGUGCUCACCAGCACAGUUUUGAGACAGUCUGAGGCUUUGUCCUGCCCCACCCAGAGCCAAGGGUAUAGACAUUUCAGACAAUU